rnacentral:rRNA from 1 species
UUGGACAUGGGCGAAAGCCUGAUCCAGCCAUGCCGCGUGUGUGAAGAAGGUCUUCGGAUUGUAAAGCACUUUAAGUUGGGAGGAAGGGUUGUAGAUUAAUACUCUGCAAUUUUGACGUUACCGACAGAAUAAGCACCGGCUAACUCUGUG